UACGUAGGGUGCAAGCGUUGUCCGGAAUUAUUGGGCGUAAAGAGCUCGUAGGUGGCUUGUCGCGUCGGCUGUGAAAACUCGGGGCUCAACUCCGAGCUUGCAGUCGAUACGGGCAGGCUAGAGUUCGGCAGGGGAGACUGGAAUUCCUGGUGUAGCGGUGAAAUGCGCAGAUAUCAGGAGGAACACCGAUAGCGAAGGCAGCUCGCUGGGACGAUACUGACGCUGAGGCGCGAAAGCGUGGGGAGCAAACAGG
rnacentral:rRNA from 1 species